rnacentral:rRNA from 1 species
UGCAGUCGAACGAUGAACGGGAGCUUGCUCCUGGGAUUAGUGGCGAACGGGUGAGUAACACGUGAGUAACCUGCCCUUGACUCUGGGAUAAGCGUUGGAAACGACGUCUAAUACCGGAUAUGACCCCUACCGGCAUCGGUUGGGGGUGGAAAGAUUUUUUGGUCAAGGAUGGACUCGCGGCCUAUCAGGUAGUUGGUGAGGUAAUGGCUCACCAAGCCGACGACGGGUAGCCGGCCUGAGAGGGUGACCGGCCACACUGGGACUGAGACACGGCCCAGACUCCUACGGGAGGCAGCAGUGGGGAAUAUUGCACAAUGGGCGAAAGCCUGAUGCAGCAACGCCGCGUGAGGGAUGACGGCCUUCGGGUUGUAAACCUCUUUUAGUAGGGAAGAAGGGAGCUUGCUCUUGACGGUACCUGCAGAAAAAGCACCGGCUAACUACGUGCCAGCAGCCGCGGUAAUACGUAGGGUGCAAGCGUUGUCCGGAAUUAUUGGGCGUAAAGAGCUCGUAGGCGGUUUGUCGCGUCUGCUGUGAAAUCUGGGGGCUCAACCCCCAGCCUGCAGUGGGUACGGGCAGACUAGAGUGCGGUAGGGGAGAUUGGAAUUCCUGGUGUAGCGGUGGAAUGCGCAGAU